rfam:Brassica oleracea var. oleracea cultivar TO1000 chromosome C6, whole genome shotgun sequence
GUCCCUUCGGAGACAUCCGAUAAAAUUGGAACGAUAAAAAAAGAGUAGCAUGGCUCCUGCACAAGGAUGACACGCACAAAUAGAAAAAUUGUCCAAAUUUUU